GAACGUGGCCAGCGAAUUGAGCCGAGAUAUCAUGAUUUGAACGUGUGUGUGCUUAUUUUUAUAACAUAAACGACAGAAUUUCAUAGUAAGGAGCUCAUUCAUGCGUACCAAUUCAGUGACGGUUUCAGUCUAGAAAGAGUUUGAAUCAACAGUUUUCACUCAUUCCUCUCAGAUGACUGAGAGUAAACUGGUUCUUGUCCAGUGGGACAAAAUGGGAUGACUGUGAUACUCAGGGACAAUCAUAUGUAGCUCCUGUAAAGUGCCAUGCCAUGGAAUAUUGUGUUUGUAGAGGCAAGGUGCCUUAUAACCUAACGUCAUCAGUAGAGGUAGAAGCCGUUCUGAAGGCAGUGAAAGUGAUAUGGAGACAUAUUCAGAUGUAGACAACAUACAACUGGCAUUAAUAAAAGGAGACGAAAAGGUCCUUCCUGAAAGAUUGAUCUUUUUCCUCAUCAGAGGUCCUUCCGGAGAGAGUACCCAGUGUAACGUUAACACUUGCAGCAGACCCUGAUUCAGGAGAGCAGCUUCUUCUCACGGUCAGGCCGGGCUAGCUUCAACAUCUGCAAGGGAGCGAGGAUUAAUGCAAGCAUCUCCUCAGACAAGGCUCACUUUCAUUUUCUUUAAUUUGAUUUUGAUAAAGUUAUAUUAAUUCAAAUUUAAAGUAGGAGAGGCUAGAGUGCACGUAAUCUACUCAGACUUUUUCUAAAACCUUUCUCCCUGGUUUACCUCAAAAGUGAAUUUGUGUUGAAAGUAUGAGCUGUUGGUUUCAGAAAGUUGUAUGAAAGAGCUAAUUAACCAUAAAACUGCCGGGUGGUUCCCCCAACCUUUUCCGCGACCAUUCCACUGCGAAAUUUUUUGACCGCGCUGCUCGCUGACUUUUUUACUUUUAACCAAAUUUACGAUGCCUGGGCAUGUGGAUAUGUAAGUGCGUGUCAGACCCAAAUUUGCUCUCAAACAUGAUUUUUUGUACGUUACAAAUUCAUUUUAAAUUAAGUUUUCUCAUCUUAUUCAUAAAGAUAUGAAUAUUUUUACUUUCAUGAGAUGAAC